UUCUCCUUUAUAUCCUUUGACUGUUGAAAGACAACUGACGGACUGGCAAGAACAAGUUACAACGUGAUGUGACUUGCAUGGGCUUUGUAUAGUCACAUUGAUAUUGUGACUUUAUUAAUCUAAUAGAAUUAUAUUGAAUUGCAACCAUUAAUAAAUGUUUUAAUAUGGGUUGGAUGACUUUUUGAACAUUCUGUACAUCUAGAUGGACACUCGGAGGAAACUGACAUGCCAUGUUGUUUCCCGGCAGAGUUACCAACUUUCUCUCCAGUUGCGUUGGAGUUGUCAGGUUUCUUUGGUGUGCACUGCGCUAUAUGACUGCAUGUGCUAUAGUCAGUUGUGUUGUUGAGCUGUUUCCAGUUAUUUGGUGUGCACGUAGCCGCUGUGAAUUUUGUCGUACCUUGAGGAAGGUAUGAAUAUUCCAAACUCACCCUCGGACAAGAAGACGAGAUGCUAAAGCAGCGCCAUUAAAGGAUUAUUACGAAAGAACUGAAAAUGGACUUGAAGAACGGAAGGUACCAUGGUUCGAAUGACGAGCGAAAAUGAACAGAGACAGGGCAGAACUGAAAAAAGGUGACGAUAUUUUGCUGGUUUCUUGUGGUGUUUCAAAAUGGCGCAGUGGCUGACAAACUCCAUAGAAUACAGUCCUAGUUGGACUUCAACCUUUAUGGAGGCGACAUAAUCUUCCGAAACGCUGGUAUUACCUACAACUGCAGGAGGCGUUACUAUCCAUAAGAAUAAUAUUGGUAUCUCAAAUGUUGUGAACGUCAGCUUUUUAAAUCGGUCUAACGGUGAUGCGUAUGACCGUCCAGUAAUUUCGAGUGCGCCGUGCUAUAGCGGCAACUUCUCCGACAAUAGUGCGUGGCUGGCGACAAACUCUCUUGGCGAUACGUAAUGUCAGCGCAUCGAGUUAUAGCAACAGACUGCAUGCUUCAAGGUCACAUCGAAAAGCCGGUGGGGGCCCAGGGAACUUGAACCCUGCCAAAGUUAGCAACGUUCUACUGGCAAGUUCGAGCCAGGUGAUAAGGGGGGCGAGGUCCUUUCGUUGCCUCCAAGCAUGCAAUUUGGUGACGAUUACUAUAAGUGGCUCGGCUACUGUAGGCUACUGGCACAGCUACUUGAGGAUUUAUAUGACUUCGAGAUGACCCCCAGUGGGAUGAAAUUCGCACCGAGCGUUAUCGUGUACAGGCAGA